rnacentral:rRNA from 1 species
GAGUUUGAUCUUGGCUCAGAACGAACGCUGGCGGCGUGUUUAAGACAUGCAAGUCGCACGGAAUGAACCGAGUAGUAAUACCUGGUGAUUUUAGUGGCGCACGGGUGAGUAACACGUGAAUUACAUGCCCUUCAGUGGGGAAUAGCCCAGGGAAACUUGGAUUAAUGCCCCAUAGUCUCGCAAGAGUAAAGGUGGCCGCAAGGCUGUCGCUGAAGGAUUGGUUCGCGCCCUAUCAGCUUGUUGGUGAGGUAACGGCUCACCAAGGCUACGACGGGUACCUGGUCUGAGAGGACGAUCAGGCACACUGGAACUGAGACACGGUCCAGACACCUACGGGUGGCAGCAGUCGAGAAUAAUUCACAAUGGACGAAAGUCUGAUGGUGCAACGCCGCGUGGAGGAUGACGGUCUUAGGAUUGUAAACUCCUGUCAUCCGGGAGAAAGACUUGGGAGUUAAUAGCUCACAGGGUUGAUAGUACCGGAAGAGGAAGGGACGGCUAACUUCGUGCCAGCAGCCGCGGUAAUACGAAGGUCCCAAGCGUUGUUCGGAAUCACUGGGCGUAAAGGGAGCGUAGGCGGCGCGGUAAGUCGGAUGUGAAAUCCCGAGGCUCAACCUCGGAACUGCAUCUGAUACUGCCGUGCUAGAGUAAUGGAGGGGUAGCUGGAAUUCUCGGUGUAGCAGUGAAAUGCGUAGAUAUCGAGAGGAACACUCGUGGCGAAAGCGAGCUACUGGACAUUUACUGACGCUGAAGCUCGAAGGCUAGGGGAGCGAAAGGGAUAGAUACCCCUGUAGUCCUAGCAGUAAACGUGCACGCUAGGGGAGCGAAAGGGAUUAGAUACCCCUGUAGUCCUAGCAGUAAACGGUGCACGCUUGGUGUGAGGGGAUUCGACCCCCCUUGUGCCGGAGCUAACGCGUUAAGCGUGCCGCCUGGGAAGUACGGUCGCAAGACUAAAACUCAAAGAAAUUGACGGGGACCCGCACAAGCGGUGGAGUAUGUGGCUUAAUUCGAUGCAACGCGAAGAACCUUACCUAGGCUUGACAUGCAUCUCUAAGCACGUGAAAGCGUGUGACCCUUCGGGGGAUUUGCACAGGUGCUGCAUGGCCGUCGUCAGCUCGUGUCGUGAGAUGUUGGGUUAAGUCCCGCAACGAGCGCAACCCUUGUGAUUAGUUGCCAGCACGUAAUGGUGGGAACUCUAGUCAGACUGCCCAGAUCAACUGGGAGGAAGGUGGGGACGACGUCAGGUCAGUAUGGCCCUUACGCCUAGGGCUGCACACGUACUACAAUGCUCAGUACAAUUAGAACCGAUACCGCGAGGUGGAGGAAAUCUGUAAAACUGGGCUCAGUUCGGAUUGGAGGCUGCAACUCGCCUCCAUGAAGUUGGAAUCGCUAGUAAUGGGGCAUCAUCUACGGCCCCGUGAAUACGUUCCCGGGUCUUGUACACACCGCCCGUCACAUCAUGGAAGCCGGUAGCACCCGAAGUAUUGUUCAAUCAAUCCUAAGGUGAAGCUGGUAACUGGGAUGAAGUCGUAACAAGGUAGCCGUAGGGGAACCUGCGGCUGGAUCACCUCCUUUCU